rnacentral:rRNA from 1 species
AUGGAGUCCUGCGAGAUCGCGCGCCUGCCGGAGGAGCUCGUGUCGGCGGCGCUCUCCCUCACGUCGCCGCGCGACGCCUGCCGCGCCGCGGCGGUCUCCCCGGCCUUCCGCGCAGCCGCCGACUCGGACGCCGUCUGGGCCUGCUUCCUACCGCUGCUCGCCGACCAACCGCCGCUCGCUGACGGAGAGGCGCUGCUGGCGUGCGGGAAGAAGGACCUGUUCCUCCGCCUCUCCGGCAGCUCCGUCCUCCUCCCAGGCGGACUCAUGAGCAUGUGGCUGGACAGGGAGACCGCCGCCAAGUGCUACAUGGUGGCGGCGAGGGAGCUGUCCAUCGCGUGGCGCGACACACCGCAACACUGGACCUGGAUCCCUCUCGAGGACUCCAGGUUCUCCGACAGUGCUGAACUCAUCUGGGUUUGUUGGUUGGAAAUCCGCGGCAAGAUACACAGCAAGAUGCUGUCCCAAGGCUCAACUUACGCCGUUUACACCGUGUACAAGCUAGCAGAGGAGCCCGACGGGCUCAACUUUCCGGUCAAUGCAUCGGUGAGCGUUGGAGGAAGCAUUCUUGCGUCCAAGGUCUGCCUCCAACGUGACCCGCACAUGAUCCAUCCCGAGGAUGUAGCGCUCCCUCAUCAAAGGGUCGAUGGUUGGAUGGAGCUGGAGUUGGGUGAGCUUGUUUGUGAGGCCGGUGAAGAUGGCGACGUGUCCUUUGGCCUGUCAGAGACUGAAUCUUUGUACUGUAAGAGCGGUCUCAUCUUGCAGGGCAUCGAGAUCAGGUGUAAGAAUUAG